ACGGAAGGCAGCAGUGGGGAAUAUUGCACAAUGGGGGAAACCCUGAUGCAGCGACGCCGCGUGAGUGAAGAAGUAUUUCGGUAUGUAAAGCUCUAUCAGCAGGAGAGAAAAUGACGGUACCUGACUAAGAAGCCCCGGCUAACUACGUGCCAGCAGCCGCGGUAAUACGUAGGGGGCAAGCGUUAUCCGGAUUUACUGGGUGUAAAGGGAGCGUAGACGGCUUUGCAAGUCUGAAGUGAAAGCCCGGGGCUCAACCCCGGAACUGCUUUGGAAACUGUAGAGCUAGAGUGCAGGAGAGGUAAGUGGAAUUCCUAGUGUAGCGGUGAAAUGCGUAGAUAUUAGGAGGAACACCAGUGGCGAAGGCGGCUUACUGGACUGUAACUGACGUUGAGGCUCGAAGGCGUGGGGAGCAAACAGGAUUAGAUACCCUGGUA
rnacentral:rRNA from 1 species